UGUAUAAUGGGUCAGCGACUUAUAUUCUGUAGCAAGGUUAACCGAAUAGGGGAGCCGAAGGGAAACCGAGUCUUAACUGGGCGUUAAGUUGCAGGGUAUAGACCCGAAACCCGGUGAUCUAGCCAUGGGCAGGUUGAAGGUUGGGUAACACUAACUGGAGGACCGAACCGACUAAUGUUGAAAAAUUAGCGGAUGACUUGUGGCUGGGGGUGAAAGGCCAAUCAAACCGGGAGAUAGCUGGUUCUCCCCGAAAGCUAUUUAGGUAGCGCCUCGUGAAUUCAUCUCCGGGGGUAGAGCACUGUUUCGGCAAGGGGGUCAUCCCGACUUACCAACCCGAUGCAAACUGCGAAUACCGGAGAAUGUUAUCACGGGAGACACACGGCGGGUGCUAACGUCCGUCGUGAAGAGGGAAACAACCCAGACCGCCAGCUAAGGUCCCAAAGUCAUGGUUAAGUGGGAAACGAUGUGGGAAGGCCCAGACAGCCAGGAUGUUGGCUUAGAAGCAGCCAUCAUUUAAAGAAAGCGUAAUAGCUCACUGGUCGAGUCGGCCUGCGCGGAAGAUGUAACGGGGCUAAACCAUGCACCGAAGCUGCGGCAGCGACGCUUAUGCGUUGUUGGGUAGGGGAGCGUUCUGUAAGCCUGUGAAGGUGGCCUGUGAGGGUUGCUGGAGGUAUCAGAAGUGCGAAUGCUGACAUAAGUAACGAUAAAGCGGGUGAAAAGCCCGCUCGCCGGAAGACCAAGGGUUCCUGUCCAACGUUAAUCGGGGCAGGGUGAGUCGACUCCUAAGGCGAGGCCGAAAGGCGUAGUCGAUGGGAAACAGGUUAAUAUUCCUGUACUUGGUGUUACUGCGAAGGGGGGACGGAGAAGGCUAUGUUGGCCGGGCGACGGUUGUCCCGGUUUAAGCGUGUAGGCUGGUUUUCCAGGCAAAUCCGGAAAACCAAGGCUGAGGCGUGAUGACGAGGCACUACGGUGCUGAAGUGACAAAUGCCCUGCUUCCAGGAAAAGCCUCUAAGCAUCAGGUAACAUCAAAUCGUACCCCAAACCGACACAGGUGGUCAGGUAGAGAAUACCAAGGCGCUUGAGAGAACUCGGGUGAAGGAACUAGGCAAAAUGGUGCCGUAACUUCGGGAGAAGGCACGCUGAUAUGUAGGUGAAGCGACUUGCUCGUGGAGCUGAAAUCAGUCGAAGAUACCAGCUGGCUGCAACUGUUUAUUAAAAACACAGCACUGUGCAAACACGAAAGUGGACGUAUACGGUGUGACGCCUGCCCGGUGCCGGAAGGUUAAUUGAUGGGGUUAGCGGUAACGCGAAGCUCUUGAUCGAAGCCCCGGUAAACGGCGGCCGUAACUAUAACGGUCCUAAGGUAGCGAAAUUCCUUGUCGGGUAAGUUCCGACCUGCACGAAUGGCGUAAUGAUGGCCAGGCUGUCUCCACCCGAGACUCAGUGAAAUUGAACUCGCUGUGAAGAUGCAGUGUACCCGCGGCAAGACGGAAAGACCCCGUGAACCUUUACUAUAGCUUGACACUGAACAUUGAGCCUUGAUGUGUAGGAUAGGUGGGAGGCUUUGAAGUGUGGACGCCAGUCUGCAUGGAGCCGACCUUGAAAUACCACCCUUUAAUGUUUGAUGUUCUAACGUUGGCCCGUAAUCCGGGUUGCGGACAGUGUCUGGUGGGUAGUUUGACUGGGGCGGUCUCCUCCUAAAGAGUAACGGAGGAGCACGAAGGUUGGCUAAUCCUGGUCGGACAUCAGGAGGUUAGUGCAAUGGCAUAAGCCAGCUUGACUGCGAGCGUGACGGCGCGAGCAGGUGCGAAAGCAGGUCAUAGUGAUCCGGUGGUUCUGAAUGGAAGGGCCAUCGCUCAACGGAUAAAAGGUACUCCGGGGAUAACAGGCUGAUACCGCCCAAGAGUUCAUAUCGACGGCGGUGUUUGGCACCUCGAUGUCGGCUCAUCACAUCCUGGGGCUGAAGUAGGUCCCAAGGGUAUGGCUGUUCGCCAUUUAAAGUGGUACGCGAGCUGGGUUUAGAACGUCGUGAGACAGUUCGGUCCCUAUCUGCCGUGGGCGCUGGAGAACUGAGGGGGGCUGCUCCUAGUACGAGAGGACCGGAGUGGACGCAUCACUGGUGUUCGGGUUGUCAUGCCAAUGGCACUGCCCGGUAGCUAAAUGCGGAAGAGAUAAGUGCUGAAAGCAUCUAAGCACGAAACUUGCCCCGAGAUGAGUUCUCCCUGAGACUUUAAGUCUCCUGAAGGAACGUUGAAGACGACGACGUUGAUAGGCCGGGUGUGUAAGCGCAGCGAUGCGUUGAGCUAACCGGUACUAAUGAACCGUGAGG
rnacentral:rRNA from 1 species